AUUGAACGCUGGCGGCAGGCCUAACACAUGCAAGUCGAGCGGAUGAAGGGAGCUUGCUCCUGGAUUCAGCGGCGGACGGGUGAGUAAUGCCUAGGAAUCUGCCUGGUAGUGGGGGAUAACGUCCGGAAACGGGCGCUAAUACCGCAUACGUCCUGAGGGAGAAAGUGGGGGAUCCUCGGACCUCACGCUAUCAGAUGAGCCUAGGUCGGAUUAGCUAGUUGGUGGGGUAAAGGCCUACCAAGGCGACGAUCCGUAACUGGUCUGAGAGGAUGAUCAGUCACAAUGGAAAUGAGACAAGGUCCAGACGCCUACGGGAGGCAGCAGGGGGGAAUAUUGGACAAUGGGCGAAAGCCUGAUCCAGCCAUGCCGCGUGUGUGAAGAAGGUCUUCGGAUUGUAAAGCACGUUAAGUUGGGAGGAAGGGCAGUAAGUUAAUACCUUGCUGUUUUGACGUUACCAACAGAAUAAGCACCGGCUAACUUCGUG
rnacentral:rRNA from 1 species